UUUCUUUUCUCCGUAGUCCAUUUUUUUCUAGGUAUCAGUGACGGAAAGACAUCCCUUGACGAACCUUUCCAGAAACUAUCUAUAAUCUUCUGGACAAAUUCCACUCUAUGUCGAGGGUUUUUAGUUUCUAAGAACGGACCCUGUGGUAUUGAUGACGAUGAUCUACCGAGAAGGAUGUCAUUUGGACCCAAAUACGCUCCGUCGUCGGGAUCAUUUGGGAGUCUUCCGAUGGGUCGUGAAUUCAAUGAAUUUGCUGACUCCAACAAACACGUAUAGAACUCGAACGCGGUUCACCGAUUGCUAACUUCAGCGCUCUUUUUGCACUUUUGACUAACGACUCCACGCAGCCGUUGUGAUGAGGUGCUGUUGGUGUGGUGAAUUUCCAGGUCAUACCCUUCUCUGCACCAUAUUCUUCUAAUUUUAUCUGAUCUCGCCCUUCAAUCAUUGCCUUUAAUUCAGCACCGACGAGUUGAGAACCAUUAUCACUCAUUAUAAGACUGGGUUGCCCACGAAGGGAGAAAAAUCGUUGCAACGUUUUUAAAAAUUCCAUUGUAGAAUAACUUGACGUGAUAAGGACCAAAACAGUCACACGACGUGUGGUAAAAUGGUGGUGAAUGUGUCUUCAGACGUUUAAUAGGAAUAUCGGCCAUAUAUUGCUCUUCGGUUUUUGCUUGUCUUUUACGACAUAUAACACAGCGGUACUUAACAGCGGUACUUAACAGUACAUAACUUGUUCAUAUAUGAUUUAAAAGAACACGUGGAUACAGAUAAAAAACAAACAAAACUACAGCAUCUAGAGGGACCUCAUCAAACAAAUUCCACCUCCUAACAAAAACCGAAAAACCUGCUAUAUUUUUUUUGAAAAAAGACUACUAAUCCUAAAAGGACAUAAAAAGAAAAUUUAAAUAAACGCUCUGAACUUUUUAGUGCAUGCCUUCGUUAAUUUAACUCCUCGUAACGAAUUGUAUACACAGUGAAUAAUAAAUAAUCUGUCAGUUGCCUGAA